AUGAACGCUGGCGGCGUGCCUAAUCCCUGCAAGUCGAGCGAACAGACGAGGAGCUUGCUCCUCUGACGUUAGCGGCGGACGGGUGAGUAACACGUCGAUAACCUACCUAUAAGACUGGGAUAACUUCGGGAAACCGGAGCUAAUACCGGAUAAUAUAUUGAACCGCAUGGUUCAAUAGUGAAAGACGGUUUUGCUGUCACUUAUAGAUGGAUCCGCGCCGCAUUAGCUAGUUGGUAAGGUAACGGCUUACCAAGGCAACGAUGCGUAGCCGACCUGAGAGGGUGAUCGGCCACACUGGAACUGAGACACGGUCCAGACUCCUACGGGAGGCAGCAGUAGGGAAUCUUCCGCAAUGGGCGAAAGCCUGACGGAGCAACGCCGCGUGAGUGAUGAAGGUCUUCGGAUCGUAAAACUCUGUUAUUAGGGAAGAACAAAUGUGUAAGUAACUAUGCACGUCUUGACGGUACCUAAUCAGAAAGCCACGGCUAACUACGUG
rnacentral:rRNA from 1 species